rnacentral:misc_RNA from 1 species
GGUGGAUUCAUUGUUGCCAAAGAUGAUAUUGAACCAUGGAUGAUCUGGGGCUACUAUAUUUCUCCCAUGAUGUACGGACAGAAUGCCAUAGCCAUCAAUGAAUUUCUUGAUGAAAGAUGGAGUGCUCCCAAUCAAGGCCGAACAUAUUCUGAACCUACAGUUGGAAAAUUUCUUCUGAAAAUGAGAGGCAUGUUCUUGGAAGAAUAUUGGUAUUGGAUUUCAGUUGGGGCACUUGUCGGAUUUUCUCUACUUUUCAACGUUCUUUUCGUAUGGGCGUUGACAUAUUUGGAUCCUUUGGGAGAUACUAAAUCCAUUCUUCUAGAUGAUGACGCGAGCAAGAAGAAGUCAUCCUCUAAUGGGCAGCAAACAAAAUCCACUGAAAUGGUUUCAUUAUCAACUGCCCCACUGUGUCAAGGUACUGAUAUGGCAGUGGGCAACACUCCUGACAGGCCAGCUGUUACUUCAACGGGGCAUGCACCUACGAAAAGAGGAAUGGUGCUGCCCUUCCAGCCCUUGUCACUAGCAUUUAAUCAUGUGAAUUACUAUGUUGAUAUGCCUGCUGAAAUGAAAAACCAAGGAAUUGAAGAGGAUCGGCUCCAGCUGUUACAAGAUGUUAGUGGAGCUUUAAGGCCUGGUAUUCUGACAGCACUGGUUGGUGUAAGUGGUGCAGGGAAGACUACCCUGAUGGAUGUUCUAGCAGGAAGGAAAACUGGAGGCUACAUUGAAGGAAGUGUCAGCAUUUCUGGUUAUCCAAAGAAGCAA